rnacentral:lncRNA from 1 species
UAGAUUCCUCACUUCAGUAACAUAUGCAGCCUAAUAUCAUGUGUGAUUCCAGAAUUUACGAGAGGAGAAAAAUGAGCUGGCUCACGAGGUACAGCAGUUGCAGCAGGAGCUCAUUGUAAAUGGGAUCCAGUUGAAUGCUAGUGGAGAGGACAGCACUGUCACCCUUGAAGGCGGAAAUUCUUUACAUCGUGAGCUCAUCCUUGCUCGAUCUGCAGAGAACAAUGACACCGAGUGGCAGUGCACUUUUACCAGCUUGUCAUCCCGGGAUGCAAUGGCAGACCAAGAAACGCUGCAGUUCCUCAGACAGUGUGAACAGAAGGGAGUGGAAUUC